GGAGGGAGGCCGGAUGUUGAGCUACGUCCGGGCGCCCAGUGCUCCCCAGCCUGUGCUGUUGGAUUCGCUCUCCCGGCCGCCCAGCCCCCU
rnacentral:pre_miRNA from 1 species